rnacentral:siRNA from 1 species
UCUUCCACGAGAGAACUAAGCACA